ACAAGGUUUCCGUAGGUGAACCUGCGGAAGGAUCAUUAUUGAAUAACCUUAGCUUGAUGGGUUGUCGCUGGCCUCUCGAGGCAUGUGCACGCCCGUCUUGACUCUAUUCAUCCACCUGUGCACUUCUUGUAGUCCUCUACACUCUGAGGGUCAGAAAAAGCGGGCUUUUGYUCAGUUGAGAUACACUGGAUUUGAGGAUUGCUUCCGGCUUUCCUUUUUUGGCCCCGUGAAAUCAAGCCUUCUCGAGAAAGGGGGACUAUGUCUUUAUUCAUAAACCAUGUAGCAUGUUGCCAGAAUGUAUUCAAUGGGCUUUUGUGCCUAUAAAACUUUAUACAACUUUCAGCAACGGAUUUCUUGGCUCUCGCAUCGAUGAAGAACGCAGCGAAAUGCGAUAAGUAAUGUGAAUUGCAGAAUUCAGUGAAUCAUCGAAUCUUUGAACGCACCUUGCGCUCCUUGGUAUUCCGAGGAGCAUGCCUGUUUGAGUGUCAGUAAAUUCUCAACCCCUCCAGUUUUUUUUGUUACUGGUUGGGGCUUGGAUGUGGAGGUGUUGCGGGCCUUUUUAUCUAGGUCGGCUCCUCUGAAAUGUAUUAGCGGAACUGUUUGCGAUCUGUUACAGGUGUGAUAAUUAUCUACGCCAAUAGGUUGCUCUCUGUUGUAUUCUGCUGCUAACCGUCCACAAAGGACAACCAGUUACUGAAUAUUUGACCUCAAAUCAGGUAGGACUACCCGCUGAACUUAAGCAU
rnacentral:rRNA from 1 species